rnacentral:rRNA from 1 species
AGUGAACGCUGGCGGUAGGCCUAACACAUGCAAGUCGAACGGCAACACAGUAAGAGCUUGCUCUUACGGGUGGCGGGUGGCGGACGGGUGACGAAUACAUCGGAAUCUACUUUUUCGGGGGGGAUAACGUAGGGAAACUUACGCUAAUACCGCAUACGUCCUACGGCUGAAAGCAGUGGAUCUUCGGACCUUUCGCGAUUGAAUGAGCCGAUGUCGGAUUAGCUAGUUGGUGGGGUAAGGGCCCACCAAGGCGACGAUCCGUAGCUGGUCUGAGAGGAUGAUCAGCCACACUGGAACUGAGACACGGUCCAGACUCCUACGGGAGGCAGCAGUGGGGAAUAUUCGACAAUGGGCGCAAGCCUGAUCCAGCCAUACCGCGUGGGUGAAGAAGGCCUUCGGGUUGUAAAGCUCUGUUGUUAGGGAAGAAAAGCAGCAGAAUAAUCCCUCGCCGUUCUGACGGUACCCAAAGAGUAAGCACCGGCUAACUUCGUG